UGAGGAGAGACUAAAUCAAUGUCACAUGCAUAGAUAGCUCUUCCAACAUUUUGUAUGGAAUUUAUUUUCUAGCUCAAUGAAGGAGAUAAUAUGAAAUCAGGCUUUCCCAUCGAGGCCACUCUAAAAGCAGUUGUUGAUUGUUGAUUGAAAUAAAAAUGGAAGCUAUUUCUUUCUGAAUCACAUGCGCUUAACUUCUGCACAGCUGGGCGUAAUGAGUUCAAGCCUACAGUGACUAAACAUGGCCGCUUGUUCGUGUGUUCGAACCUUGUCCGCUGUCAUCUUUAUCGUUCAGCAGGAAGUUUUUGCAAGGAUGUAGAUUGUACAGGCCUAAUCAUCGUUUCUGAAGCCAAGUCCGAAACUCGAAAAACAAACAAUAAAAAGUCAACAUUUACUUUUGAUUUUCAAUGGUAUAAUUUACUUUAAAAAAAAAACAAGUUAGAAACUAUGAAUCCUUGGAGAAUUGACGAAAUUCAUUUUUUUAAAAUAAUUAUAGCCCCAUUUAAUUUAGGAAGCUUUUGAGGGCUUGACAAUCUUGAUUCAUUCAUUUUGUUUUUCAUAUUGACGAAGACUUCUAGGGCUUAUAAUUGUUAGGUUACAUACAGUACCGAUGUCUAGAAAUUAAAAGAACCGUCUUACACCUGGAUGUGUUAUAUUGUA